AGAGAGUUUGGCUGAAGAGGAGAGGCUCUGGUAUUUAAAAAAUGGUUUGAUUCAUUUUAUUGCAGGCAAAGUUAAAAAGGAAAUCUUCUGCAGCUUAUCUGAUAUAUGUAUUUCUUCUUGUCGUUGGGCCUGAUUAAAAUUUAUUUUUUUUAUUGAUCGGAUUACUCCAGUCGUACGUACGCUUUUAUAAACAUCGGCAAGGAAGGCUUUUUUGGAGGAGGACAAGCAGCAACAAGUUCCCUUGCCUGCUAGUGUAAAAAAAUGACCCAACCAUCUUCAAAGCCACCACAAACUGGCUCCCUGCCAAAGGACAGGAAUGUUUCUUCCGUCUUGCACAACCAUUUGUGUUCCUUGAUUCUCACAGUCGGCAACAAUGUUCAAGAUGAUUGUCUGGUGACAAGGACAGGAAACUGCAGACACAACAACUAUUGAGUCAUUUGAGGAUAAAGCUGAAAAAAUGAGGUGGCUUCAUGUAUGAAGUUUGACCAUUGGGUGAGUUACUGGAAGUCAGAUGGCACUUCAGCAGGAACACCAAGAGAGAAGAUGGGAGAAAUUUGACUAAGGAAAAUAAUUACCAGAUGAGUUUUGAAUACUGUAUUAAGAUAUUCACAUGUUCAUUAAAUACAGCUCUUUG